GGUUAAAAAAGUGUUUUGUGUAAGUUCAUGGUGUUUGUCCUAUUGUGAAUUGUGAUUAUCGGUACUGCGAUAAAUUCAGAAUAGUGUAGUAAAUACCGUUUUGUCAAGAAAACAGUACUAAACCUACAUAACCUCACUUCUACAUGCAAUGCAGAAAAUGCAAUUUCUCAACACAGACAAAAUGAUGAAUGUUCGGGCGCAACCAAAAAAAAAGAAGAAAUCGAGUUAGAAAUUGCGGGAGAUACGCAGAAAUUGAAUGAAUUGUUUCAGACUGAUAAUAAUGUUUAUUUGCCAGGAAGAGAAGACGUAAAAAACAUGUAUGCAAUUUUGAAGAAAUUAUUAAUAAUGAACCAAAUUGCUUUCAAGUUUUCAGGGAAAGGGAAAAAAUAAGCUCUCUUUUAGUAAACUCACAAUUAACAAGGCUAUAAUAUGUCAAGUUAUGUGAUUUCUUAAAAAUUACGAACUUUGUAAGUUAAUUUAAUUGUAGGUACCACACGGAAACGUCACAAAAACGCCACAACUACUGAAAUUUAAAAAAUGGUAGGACCUCAUUAAGCGCAGACAAAAGCAAGAAUGAAU